rnacentral:tRNA from 1 species
GGUGGCUCAGUGGUAGAGUGCUUGCCUUGCUCGCAUGAGGCCCUGGGUUCAAUUCCUCAGCACCA